AAGGAAAAUCUAUGUAUAUUAUCUAACACAUAACGAAUGUUUCUGUAAUUUACCAUAAAUUCCUUUCAUCUGUGUAAUGAUUUAUACAUAGACGUACAAAUUCCAUUAUUAAAUGGUUGUUUAGCACAUAUCUACGUGCUGUGAGGUGUUAACUUACGUAGACCCAAUUGAACCGUGGGACGGUCCAAAAGGUAUAUUCAACAAAGCACAUGAGAUUGGACUUCACGUUUUGGUCUAUUAGGCCAAGCAAGGCCCAUUCUCAAGAAAGAAAGAAAAAAACCUAAUAGUAACCAUAUAAAAAAUUAAAAAAAAAAAAAUUGGAACUCGUGAGUCGAGAGUCGUGACCUCCUACCAUAUCUUAAAAAACAAAUUCAAUACUUUCAAAAAAUUUAAAACUUUAUACAUGAAAGCCAAUUGCUAACCCUUCCAUUCCUUUGAACAUAGUGUUUCCCAGAAAAAGGAGGGGGGAAGAAUAUCGCAUUCAUUUGAUGACAAAACCCCAUUUAUAGGCACUCCCCAUGAUCAUCAUGUGUAAAAGAGCUUUGUGAACAGAAGCUCGUUCCAAGUAUCUUGAAGGCCGGGCAAGCACCAGUGCACGCAGUCGGCAUAGCUCGCCGGGUUGGCCACUUGCUCUGCCGUGAGCGGAUGCCACUGCUUCUUGUAGAUGGAGGUGUGCGCAUCUCUGCGAUAGCUCGAGAGCUGAGUGAUGUUGAGGAGCACGAUGGGGACUUUGGUCUUGCUGAACACUUCUCCAAUCACCCGCAUCACGCCCUUUCGGCAAUCUGAGCCCCAGUAGUUCGGGUCUUCGAUGAUCGUCGUCUGGUUGUAGCAGUUGCCGCCCGGCUCGCCGCCCCAAUCAAUACUCCUGCACGCCACCAUGGUGUUUCCAGAUAUCAUUAUCGAGAUUUAGUUUGACAAAUUCAUCGUCAUGCUACAGAAAAUGGAUCAUCAUGUGUUCGUGCAGCAUUAAUACGGAUUCCGUUUAGUUUGUACCAAGUUUACAUUGAUAGCGAAUCCAAUUCCAUUAGCUAAAUGCAAUGGAAGAAGAUAGGGAAUUAUAACUCACUUUUGAUGUGAAGGUGACAUGCUAACAAAGAAGACCCUCGUCUUUUUUGGGUCCAUAUUCUUUUUAGUCCAUCUCAACAUGCUCUUCAGUCCCAUCCUGUAAGCAUCCUCUGUUGACAGCUCCACCACAUCCCUCACCUCAUCGUCAAAUGAACCUUUCCUACAGAAAAGUUAAAGUAAAGCCACAAUUAGAUCCCCCAUUUCAAAUUGAUUGGUUUCUAAGGACAGUUAGAAAGAAUAAAAAGCAAAGUCGAG
rnacentral:lncRNA from 1 species